AGAGUUUGAUCCUGGCUCAGAUUGAACGCGGGCGGUAUGCUUCACACACACAAGUAGAGCCAGCUCGGGGUUUUGUUUCCAGGUUAGUGGCGAACGGGUGAGUAAUAUAUCGGAACAUAUCCAGAAGAGGGGGAUAACGCAGCGAAAGCUGCGCUAAUACCGCAUACGCCCUGAGGGGGAAAGCAGGGGAUCUCAAGACCUCUCGCUUAUUGGAGCGGCCGAUAGCUCGUGAUUAGCUAGAUAGGUGAGGUAAAGGCUCACCAUAGGCGGACUGAUCCAGUAGCCGUGGUCUGAGAGGACUGAUCCAGCCACACUGAACUGAGACACGC
rnacentral:rRNA from 1 species